UACGGAGGGUGCAAGCGUUAUCCGGAUUCACUGGGUUUAAAGGGAGCGUAGGUGGGUUAGUAAGUCAGUGGUGAAAUCCCUAAGCUUAACUUGGGAACUGCCAUUGAUACUAUUAAUCUUGAAUACCGUGGAGGUCAGCGGAAUAUGUCAUGUAGCGGUGAAAUGCUUAGAUAUGACAUAGAACACCAAUUGCGAAGGCAGCUGGCUACACGAAUAUUGACACUGAGGCUCGAAAGCGUGGGGAUCAAACAGG
rnacentral:rRNA from 1 species